rnacentral:lncRNA from 13 species
AUUUUCCUGUGCCAGCUCUUCUAAAAUCUUACAGCGAGUCUUGGUAUAAAUGAUUGGAUGCAUAAUCUCACUUUUUAAAAGAAGUGCAUUUUAAAAUGUACCUGCUCUCAAAAGGACCCUGGAGUGCCUGUUAAAAGUGACACAAAAUCCUGAGCCCUGGGACAAAUGGAAAUCCAACAGGUCUACCAGGAAAGAUCACAUGACAUCCUGAAGCCCUGAGAUUCAGGGCCUCCUGAUUUUCUGCAUUUACAUGAAGACCUCCAUUUGUCAUUCUGUAAUAAAUAGUGAAUUUACUGGGCUCUUUUAGCUGGAUCUCCUUGUGUCUGUAUAUUGGAACUUAUUUUCAGCAGACUGAUAUGAUAUGGAAAUACCAGCUCAGAAGAUGUGGUGAACUCUGAUGAUUCAGACACUGAUUGACAGGAGGAGGGCCUCAUUUGGACAGUGCUGGGAUUACAGGCUUGAGCCACCGCGCCCGGCCUCAGACUGUUCUAAGUGUGCAGUGGCUGCGAAGAGACCGGCUGACCAAGAAAGGAGGGAAAGCAGAAUGUCCCCAAGUUCUGGAAUGAAGAUUGCUAACUGCUUCUCAUGGGAGUUGUGGCCAGAAUGGCUCCCGAACCCUGGUGUGUCUUUGGGCGCGUAUGCCCAGCAGUGGGCAGUAGCAUCGUCACUGUGUCAGUUCUGUGGUGUGAUGUGGAGAACUGGUAGUGGAACGUAG